GAUGAACGCUGGCGGCGUGCCUAAUACAUGCAAGUCGAGCGAACAGACGAGGAGCUUGCUCCUCUGACGUUAGCGGCGGACGGGUGAGUAACACGUGGAUAACCUACCUAUAAGACUGGGAUAACUUCGGGAAACCGGAGCUAAUACCGGAUAAUAUAUUGAACCGCAUGGUUCAAUAGUGAAAGACGGUUUUGCUGUCACUUAUAGAUGGAUCCGCGCCGCAUUAGCUAGUUGGUAAGGUAACGGCCUACCAAGGCGACGAUGCGUAGCCGACCUGAGAGGGUGAUCGGCCAGACUGGAACUGAGACACGGUCCAGACUCCUACGGGAGGCAGCAGUAGGGAAUCUUCCGCAAUGGGCGAAAGCCUGACGGAGCAACGCCGCGUGAGUGAUGAAGGUCUUCGGAUCGUAAAACUCUGUUAUUAGGGAAGAACAAAUGUGUAAGUAACUAUGCACGUCUUGACGGUACCUAAUCAGAAAGCCACGGCUAACUACGUG
rnacentral:rRNA from 1 species